rnacentral:rRNA from 1 species
AACUUGAGGGCAGCAGAGGGAAGGUGGAAUUCUGGGAGUAGCGGCGAAAUGUGUAGAUAUCGGGAGGAACACCAGUGUCGAAGGCGGCCUCCUGUGCUGCUCCUGACGCUGAAGGCGAAAGCUAGGGGAGCGAACGAGAUUAGAAACCCUGGUAGUCAUAGCAGUAAAUGAUGGAUGCUAGGUGUGGGGGGUGUAGAUUCCCUCCGUGCCGCAGUUAACGCGUUAAGCAUCCCGCCUGGCGUGUACGGCCGCAAGGCUAAAACUCAAACGAAUUGACGGGGGCCUGCACAAGCAGCGGAGCGUGUGGUUUAAUUCGAUGCUACACGAAGAACCUUACCUGGGCUUGACAUACAGGUAGUAGUGAACUGAAAGCGGAUCGAUCCUUCAGGGAGCUUGUACAGGUGCUGCAUGGCUGUCGUCAGCUAGUCCCUUGAGGUGUCGGGUUAAGUCCCGUAACGAGCGCAACCCCUGCUCUUAGUUAUACGUGUUUAAGAGGACUGCCGGCGUUAAGCCGGAGGAAGGUGGGGAUGACGUCAAGUCAGCAUGUCCUUUAUGUCCAGGGUUACACCCACGGUACAAUGGCCGGUACAAUGGGUAGUUAAACCGCGAGGGGGAGCCAAUCCUGUAAAGCCGGUCUCAGUUGGAAUUGCAGGAUGCAACUAGCCUGCAUGAAGUGGGAGUUGUUAGUAAUCGCAGGUCAGCAAUACUGCGGUGAAUACGUUCCCGGGCCUUGUACACACCGCCCGUCACGUCAUGGAAGCUGGCAACACCCGAAGCCGGUGAGC